AACGAACGCUGGCGGCAUGCCUAACACAUGCAAGUCGAACGGGAUCCUAGCUUGCUAGGUGAGAGUGGCGGACGGGUGAGUAACACGUGGGAAUCUGCCUUUUGGUUCGGGAUAACCGCGGGAAACUGCGGCUAAUACCGAAUGCCCUCGAGAGAGGAAAGAUUUAUCGCCAGAAGAGGAGCCCGCGUCCGAUUAGGUAGUUGGUGGGGUAAAAGGCCUACCAAGCCGACGAUCGGUAGCUGGUCUGAGAGGAUGAUCAGCCACACUGGGACUGAGAUACGGCCCAGACUCCUACGGGAGGCAGCAGUGGGGAAUAUUGGACAAUGGGGGCAACCCUGAUCCAGCAAUGCCGCGUGAGUGAUGAAGGCCUUAGGGUUGUAAAGCUCUUUUGCCAGGGAAGAUGAUGACUGUACCGGAAGAAUAAGCCCCGGCUAACUUCGUGCCAGCAGCCGCGGUAAU
rnacentral:rRNA from 1 species